rnacentral:rRNA from 1 species
GCGUGCCUAAUACAUGCAAGUCGAGCGAACGGACGAGAAGCUUGCUUCUCUGAUGUUAGCGGCGGACGGGUGAGUAACACGUGGAUAACCUACCUAUAAGACUGGGAUAACUUCGGGAAACCGGAGCUAAUACCGGAUAAUAUUUUGAACCGCAUGGUUCAAAAGUGAAAGACGGUCUUGCUGUCACUUAUAGAUGGAUCCGCGCUGCAUUAGCUAGUUGGUAAGGUAACGGCUUACCAAGGCAACGAUGCAUAGCCGACCUGAGAGGGUGAUCGGCCACACUGGAACUGAGACACGGUCCAGACUCCUACGGGAGGCAGCAGUAGGGAAUCUUCCGCAAUGGGCGAAAGCCUGACGGAGCAACGCCGCGUGAGUGAUGAAGGUCUUCGGAUCGUAAAACUCUGUUAUUAGGGAAGAACAUAUGUGUAAGUAACUGUGCACAUCUUGACGGUACCUAAUCAGAAAGCCACGGCUAACUACGUGCCAGCAGCCGCGGUAAUACGUAGGUGGCAAGCGUUAUCCGGAAUUAUUGGGCGUAAAGCGCGCGUAGGCGGUUUUUUAAGUCUGAUGUGAAAGCCCACGGCUCAACCGUGGAGGGUCAUUGGAAACUGGAAAACUUGAGUGCAGAAGAGGAAAGUGGAAUUCCAUGUGUAGCGGUGAAAUGCGCAGAGAUAUGGAGGAACACCAGUGGCGAAGGCGACUUUCUGGUCUGUAACUGACGCUGAUGUGCGAAAGCGUGGGGAUCAGACAGGAUUAGAUACCCUGGUAGUCCACGCCGUAAACGAUGAGUGCUAAGUGUUAGGGGGUUUCCGCCCCUUAGUGCUGCAGCUAACGCAUUAAGCACUCCGCCUGGGGAGUACGACCGCAAGGUUGAAACUCAAAGGAAUUGACGGGGACCCGCACAAGCGGUGGAGCAUGUGGUUUAAUUCGAAGCAACGCGAAGAACCU